AUUGAACGCUGGCGGCAUGCCUUACACAUGCAAGUCGAACGGCAGCGGACCUUCGGGUGCCGGCGAGUGGCGAACGGGUGAGUGAUGCAUCGGAACGUGCCAUUGAGUGGGGGAUAACGUAGCGAAAGUUGCGCUAAUACCGCAUAUUCUGUGAGCAGGAAAGCAGGGGACCGCAAGGCCUUGCGCUCUUUGAGCGGCCGAUGUCAGAUUAGCUAGUUGGUGAGGUAACGGCUUACCAAGGCGACGAUCUGUAGCGGGUCUGAGAGGAUGAUCCGCCACACUGGAACUGAGACACGGUCCAGACUCCUACGGGAGGCAGCAGUGGGGAAUUUUGGACAAUGGGGGCAACCCUGAUCCAGCCAUGCCGCGUGAGUGAAGAAGGCCUUCGGUUGUAAAGCUCUUCGGUCCGGGAACGGAAAUACGCAUGGGUUAAGUACCCUGUGUGGAUGACGGUACGGCGACUAAGAAGCACCGGCUAACUACGUAG
rnacentral:rRNA from 1 species